rnacentral:rRNA from 1 species
CCUACGGGGCGCAGCAGUAGGGAAUCUUCCACAAUGGACGAAAGUCUGAUGGAGCAACGCCGCGUGAGUGAAGAAGGGCUUCGGCUCGUAAAGCUCUGUUGGCAGUGAAGAAAGAUAAAGGUACUAAUUGGCCUUUAAUUGACGGUAACUACUUAGAAAGUAACGGCUAACUACGUGCCAGCAGCCGCGGUAAUACGUAGGUGGCAAGCGUUGUUCGGAUUUAUUGGGCGUAAAGCGAGUGCAGGCGGU